AACGGUCAAAAAAUCUCAAAAUACAAAAGAAAUUGGUUAACCCAGCGGAACCACCCACUAAUACAAGCCAAAACGCUCCCUAAAACUCAAUCUCUCUUGCUCUAAACCCCCAUUGGUCCCCAAGAAUUUCAGCCCCAGCAAGCAAAAAUGAGUACUCUACAAUACCCAGAUGCCAUUAACGCCCCGGAGCUCCAGAUAUGGAACAAUGCUGCUUUUGAUAACGAAGAAUCUUUUGAAUCGGACCACGUUAAAGUCUCUUGGUCUGAUAUUGACGCCGUGAACCGGUCUGAGUCUCUUGAAUCCGAUUGCGGCAAAGAAAAUCUGAUCCCUUUGGUGGUAAAAUCCCCUUUAUCUUCGGUACCCAUUAAGCCACUUCUCCCGAAUAGGAACUUGCCAUUGAAGAUUCUUCUUGAAACUCCGGCGGUUCCAAAGAAGCGGUACAAAGCAAUAGAGGAAAACAAAAGAGUCCGUGAGGAUAAAGUAAUUGAUUCGGAGAUCGAGAGUAUUGAAAAGGAGAUUAGUCAGUUAUCAUUGAGACUCGAAGCGCUUCGAUUCGAAAAGGCCGAGCGGAAUGCGAUGAGUACAGUUGAAAGGCGGGGAAGGAUUGUUCCGGCCAAGUUUAUGGAGCCGAAACAGGGUGUGGAUAAUUCUGAUUUGAACAGAAAGAUUGAAGAACCUUUAAUCUCUAGCGCGAAGCCAAAGAUUAACCGUAGGGGUGUAAGUUUGGGUCCCGCGGAGAUAUUCGCCGGAGCCAGACCUCGACAGCCAGGUAAGCCUGAAAUCACGCCGGUCCAACCGAUUCAGAGUCGUCGGAAAUCAUGCUUUUGGAAGCUUCAAGACAUUGAUGAGUUGAAAGAGGCAAAAGAAAGGGGUAAGAGUCUGAGUGUUAGCCCGAAAUCGCGGAAAACUUUAUCGAAGUUUCAAGCUCCAAAGCAGGCAGCAACCACAGUCGGGUCUAAAAGGCCUGUCAAGAAAGAAGAUCGGUUUCUCGCAUCAAUUCAGCCAAAGAAGUUGUUCAAGGAUGGAGAAAAGUCGCUGACGGCAAAGAAACCAUUGAAGUCUGGUAGGGUGGUGGCGAGCCGAUAUACCCAGAUGUCCAAUCAGACAAAUGGGAAUUCGAGACUGAGCGAUGGGAGGAAGCGGUCUCUACCGGAGGAUGAUAAUGAGCAUGGUAACAGGUGUGACCGAAGGCGCACUUCAUCGGUGGGAAAAUUACAUGGGAAUCAAGGAACGGAGAGUCGGUUGAAGAAACUUUGGGAGGCUCCGAGUGAGGUACUGGUGUACAAGGGUGAGGAAGAUGAGUCUUUAGAGUCAAUUGCUGAGAUGGGGGAAGUGCUUCCGAAAAUUCGGACAGUCCGGUGUGUGAAGGACACUCCGAGAGACUCGGGACCAGCCAAAAGAGUGGCUGAAUUGAUUGGGAGAAGGUCGUACUUUUGCAAUGCUGAGGGGGCGGAGCCUUCAGUUUGUCAGGCUUUGAAUUUUGAGGGAGAUGCAGAAGAAGAAUUAAUUGGAUAAGAGGAAAGCAAGGUGAUUGUUCUUUCAUCAUUAUGGCUUUAUUUUGUGAGCCAUAACUCUUGUUAUGGGGCACUUUAUUAUCAGAUCUCACAUGUCCUCUCCUGGGUCGAGUGGCUCUUGAUGAAUUGUAAACAAUAUAUACAAUUUCAUCAGCAGCUUACUGCAGAGGAAGAAGAAAAAAGGUGAAGCUAUGUGGGAUGAGAAAGUGAAGAUUGUUUUAGGAUUUUUGCAUCUUCGUAUGCCUUGAUUCAGAAUAAACUCUUUGAACUACUUAUUAAGAUUCUUCAUUUUGAUAUCUAAAUAAGGGGUUGGGUCUGAAGUCAUGUAAUCUUGUAUGUGCAUUUGCAGGAAACUCCUUGCUGAGAGCAUGUGCACCCCCAAGAUUAGUCGGGACUUAGUUGUCGAACUCCCAGUGCCAAUAAAAAAAACCACCGCAUGAGUAGUAUAGACCUUGAAAAAUUGUUGAAUGAAAAAUGAAAGAGAGAAGAAACCACACCUUCUGUUACCCUUUUUGUGAAUAUUUCACCCACCUAGGAAUCCUGGAGGUGAGAGGAUCUUGUCACACCCCAGUGUAGCCCUUACUGGUCUAGGAUACAUCAUUCUGCUAUUUAAAAUUCUUGAUCACUCUCAUUCCUUGAACUUGCAAUAAGGUUUACAUCCAUAAUAUCGAUUCUAUGGGAAGUAAAGACAUCAUAUUUCCGCGCUUUUGAUAUUCAUGAAGCAUCCGUAGCUAUCUGGGGGAGUUCCUCCUUACACAGUUGUCUUAUGACUUGCAAACAACCAUUCUGCACUUGCUGCUCUGAGCCUGAUUACUUAUGAAUAUGUUCUGUGUAUUCUCUACUCAUGAUAAUGAUGAUUAAAAAAUCUUUUCCUUCUUGUGGUGUUAGUCAAGAUGGUUUGUUUGCUAGUUAUUCUGGUUGAAAUAAGACAAGCAUAUUCAUAAAA